UCUCCGCAAAUUUAAAGGUCCAACUUCUCUCCAAACUCUGCGAGGACCUGUGUGUUAUUAUGCGAAGAAGCUGGGGUAAGCUAGAAGUGUAUGUUGAGAAGGAAGUCUCCGAGAGAUAAACAACAAAGAUUCGAAAAAAAAAAAAAAAAAAAAAAAAAAAAAAAAAAAA